UCCGAGGUAGUUGAGUUGGUACAACACCGCGCUGUUAACGCGGAUAUCGCUGGUUCGAGUCCAGCCCUCGGAGCAA
rnacentral:tRNA from 1 species